rnacentral:rRNA from 1 species
ACGGCGAGUGAAGCGGCAACAGCUCAAAUUUGAAAUCUGGCUCUCGGGCCCGAGUUGUAAUUUGUAGAGGAUGCUUUUGAUGCGGUGCCUUCCGAGUUCCCUGGAACGGGACGCCAUAGAGGGUGAGAGCCCCGUCUGGUUGGAUGCCAAAUCUCUGUAAAGCUCCUUCGACGAGUCGAGUAGUUUGGGAAUGCUGCUCUAAAUGGGAGGUAUAUGUCUUCUAAAGCUAAAUACUGGCCAGAGACCGAUAGCGCACAAGUAGAGUGAUCGAAAGAUGAAAAGCACUUUGAAAAGAGAGUUAAAAAGUACGUGAAAUUGUUGAAAGGGAAGCGUUUAUGACCAGACUUGGGCUUGGAUAAUCAUCUGGGGUUCUCCCCAGUGCACUUUUCCAGUCCAGGCCAGCAUCAGUUUUCGCCGGGGGAUAAAGGCUUCGGGAAUGUGGCUCUCUCCGGGGAGUGUUAUAGCCCGUUGCGUAAUACCCUGGGGGGGACUGAGGUUCGCGCAUCUGCAAGGAUGCUGGCGUAAUGGUCAUCAACGACCCGUCUUGAAACACGGACC